ensembl:misc_RNA Y_RNA Y RNA
GGCUGGUCCGAUGGCAGUGGGUUAUCAGAACUUAUUGACAUUAGUGUCACUAAAGUUGGUAUACCACCCCCCCACUGCUAAAUUUGACUGGCUUAAA